rnacentral:rRNA from 1 species
CAGCCGUAAACAAUGUGCGUUAGGUAUGUCGGUAACCACGUGUUACUGAUGUGCCGAAGAGAAACCGUGAAACGUGCCGCCUGGGAAGUACGGUCGCAAGGCUGAAACUUAAAGGAAUUGGCGGGGGGAGCACCACAACGGGUGGAGCCUGCGGUUUAAUUGGACUCAACGCCGGGAAGCUCACCGGAUAAGACAGCGGAAUGAUUGCCGGGCUGAAGACUCUGCAUGACUAGCUGAGAGGUGGUGCAUGGCGUAGACGUCU